GGGCACAUGGUGUAGUUGGUUAUCACGCUCGCUUAGCAUGUAUAAUGCGCCUGCGAGAGGUGUUGGGUUCAAUUCCCAAUGUGUCCA
rnacentral:tRNA from 1 species